CUUCAGGAAAACUCCAUGGAGAUAUUCAAACUAACUGCAGAGUAGCAGAAAAGAGUUAAACGGCAGAAUCACCUGAUUUGCUUUUCGCCUCCCGAGUUUUUCCUUAGAAUGAGAAAUAGUUUCCUGUCCGCUUUUGAAAGAAACAACUUCAAAACCUUUGUGGCUGGGAUGGCAUCAUGCUCUGCGCAGCCCAGGUUCAGCUGGACCGAGAUGCAGCCACCAUCAGCAAGACAAAGGCAGAGAUAAUGAAAACGGGAACUAACCCAAAGAAUUAAGGGGACCGAGCAGCAUCAGAUGAGAGCUGAAAGGAAAACCCGGCUGGUGUUUCCGAGCACUGCAUGCUCAUCUCCGCCGCAAGUGACCGGUUUCAUCGCAGGAUGUCCGGAGGGCUUCCUCGAAUCUGAACUGCAAAGGCCAAUCAGCUCAGAUAACCAGUGUCUCCUCAGGGAAGAGAGCCAGGUACCUCCGCAGUGGGAUUUAGAAAAGGAAACACCUGUUGGCACUCAAGCAGCCUUUAUUAAACUCCAGCCAGAUCCCACCUACUAUGCUGAUCUUCUUCACCUGGGAUGCUUCCAACAAGAUGAGGUAAAUUAAUGCCCAAGAGACCUUUAUUUCUUCUUUUCUCUAAGUUUGCUAUUUCAAUGCUGGUAAGAUUAUUAUUAGGAAAUUAGGGUUUCUUUCUAUCAUGAUCACAGUGUGAUUUCAUGUACUCACCUGUACUCUCAAGUUUAUGAACUUUGUGCAGAACCUGGUCUUUAGCAGCUCCUCCAUAUUUUGUUCUUUCAGUUAAAAACUUUGAAUUAAAUACUUACAGCCUUUAGCAAUAAGGAAGAGUUAAAAGCUACAGAAAUAACCCAGACCUAAGCAAAAUCACCUGCUCCUGCUUUUUGACUUGCAUUGUGAUUGUAGUUGCUGUGCAGAUCAUUUUCUGCAUGGAAUUUUCUUAGCAAUGGUGUUAACAAUUGGCCCAGAUCUAGACCCUAACAUUAACUCAUGUUUUGGUUCAUAUGAUUGCUAAAAAAAAGGGGGAAAAUAAUCUGCUCAUUGGUUAAACCAAGCUAAAAGAGUGUUGCAAUUUAAAAUGCCUAAACUUUAUAAUUCUUCCUCUACAAGAAUCAGCAGAAUCUGACCAAUGCUACCUAGUGAACAACCUCCUGUUUUUAUCAUGGUCUGACUAUAAUAUGGGAUUGUAGCAUCUGGCCGAUGAGUAGCUGGCUGUUUUGUGACAGGCCACAAAUAAUCCUGACCCCAUGUAUUUGUAGAGAUACUGGAAUUUAAUCAAUUUACUCAUCAAAAUUGUAUUCACUUGUUUGAUUAGCAAAACUAAUUACAGUCAGGAUUUGAUGGCUGUACUAGGUAAAGGCUCCAACUUUCAGUCCUGAAUGUUUGGAAACCUGGAGAGAAAAAGGGAAAAACAUAAGUUUGAAAAAUUAUCCUACCUAUGAGACCAUCUCUAUGUCAAAAGGAAGGCUCUGAUUACUUCUACUGGCAGAAGAAAGGCAAGUUACAAAGGUAGUUAGUGCAGGUAAAAGACAGCUUGUGGUGC
rnacentral:lncRNA from 1 species